CAAAAAGUUAGUCCAGCGGCUGUUACAUUGCAUUAUGCAUACAUUAAAUAAUGAGGAGUCCAAAUUCCACACAAUUCCGGAAGGGUAAGACCGUAAAUGUGCUCCGACAUACGUGGCGUACUACUGCCCAACCCCCACCCCCGCGUAUAUAUAACGGCCCUGGCUCUUGCAAAUUCAUCCGCUCAUUCACGUCUCGUGAACCUCUGAGAAGCCAUUCCUUUUCUAGAAAAUUUCCCUCCCUUUUUCUAACCGCUUAUUCCGCCUUCGAGAAAGCUCCGCCGCUAGGGUUACGAUCUCGUUCUGCCGCUCUACAUACGGAGCAGGAAGACGUUUUGAUUGCUCAAAGGCUUUGAUAGAGGAGGAGGAUUAAACGACAGUUGAUUGUUAACAGUUU